GUGCAUGGUCGUCGUCAGCUCGUGCCGUGAGGUGUUGGGUUAAGUCCCGCAACGAGCGCAACCCCCGCCGUUAGUUGCCAGCGGUUCGGCCGGGCACUCUAACGGGACUGCCCGCGAAAGCGGGAGGAAGGAGGGGACGACGUCUGGUCAGCAUGGCCCUUACGGCCUGGGCGACACACGUGCUACAAUGCCCACUACAAAGCGAGGCCACCCGGCAACGGGGAGCUAAUCGCAAAAAGGUGGGCCCAGUUCGGAUUGGGGUCUGCAACCCGACCCCAUGAAGCCGGAAUCGCUAGUAAUCGCGGAUCAGCCAUGCCGCGGUGAAUACGUUCCCGGGCCUU
rnacentral:rRNA from 1 species